GGGUGUUUAGCUCAGUUGGUUUAGAGCGCUACGUUGACAGCGUAGAGGUCAGCAGUUCGAAUCUGCUAAUACCCA
rnacentral:tRNA from 1 species